rnacentral:tRNA from 2 species
GGGCCCGUAGCUCAGCCUGGUUAGAGCGCUCGGCUCAUAACCGAGUGGUCAAGGGUUCAAAUCCCUUCGGGCCCACUA